rnacentral:rRNA from 1 species
UACGGAGGGGGCUAGCGUUGUUCGGAAUUACUGGGCGUAAAGCGCGCGUAGGCGGACCUGCAAGUCGGGGGUGAAAGCCCGAGGCUCAACCUCGGAACUGCCUUCGAUACUGCGGGUCUCGAGUCCGGGAGAGGUGAGUGGAACUUCCUAGUGUAGAGGUGAAAUUCGUAGAUAUUAGGAAGAACACCAGUGGCGAAGGCGGCUCACUGGCCCGGUACUGACGCUGAGGCGGCGAAAGCGGUGGGGAGCAAACAGG